GGUGUGGGAGCCAGCCGGCAGCCGGCCCUAGAAGAGUUCAAGAUCAAGGCUUCGCGAUCCGUCCGUCCUGCGAGUGUGGGUCGCGCCGCGCUUAGCUUGCUCCAUCGCAUCGCAUCACAUCGCAUCACAUCACAUCAGCUCGCCGUCAAGUCCGCCCCCGCGGCCCCCGCGAUUCCCUUGCGCCCGUUGUUUUGAUUCCGACUGUAUGUUGCCUUAGGUCACUUUUUCACCUCAGAUUUGCUGGUCUACCUCUGGCGCUGGGGUGAACAAGGGAUGUCGAAAGGGCAUUUCAACAACCGGUGUUGAACGGAAGUGAAAGUGAUCGCGAAGUCUUGCGGCCUCGUGUGUCUGCUUGACUGUUCUGUUGUUGACCCGCAAUAUGCCACCUCUCGCCGUUCGCCACACGGCUGCCCGCCCCGCCGUGGCCCAUGCGCUCCUCGGGUUUCCGACUUUCGCUGAUGUUCUUUGGCUCACCUUUUCACCUCAGGUUUGCUGGUUAAUCUCCGGUUCUGGGACGAACAAGUGAGGUAAAUAAGGCGUUUCAAUCUGUUUUGAUCGGGAGUAAGGCGAUCGCCUAGUCGUGCAGCCCCGUGUGGCUGACUUGUCGCUGUGCGCCCCGCGCCCCGCCUCCGCGGCAGGUCUUAUUUUGACCCUUUUGACUGGAGGUAGAAGUCGUUUGUGUGCCUGGUGCUGCCCCGGCUCGCCUGGCGCGGAUGCGAUAUAUGGUGAGCGAUAUAACCGGGCUGCCUGACCGUCGUCUGCGCCAGGGAGGGUGGUUGCGCACGGUUGUUUUGUUUUGUUCUCUCCGUCCUUGUCGCACUCGCUGCCACCGGGAGGGAGAGGGCACGCGUAAACAACGUGCGGGAUCGCCCUGCAGGUCUGUGGGCCUCGCUCGGCAUCCAAACGUCUUCUACUCCGAGCCUGUUUGGUCGGCACCGAUGUGUCCCUAGCUAGCGCCCACGCGCCCGCGUAGAGCUCGCGCAGGGAAUGACCUCUGUGCCCCGCGCAGUCUGACACUGCUACGCCCAAAGCAUUCUUUCGCGAAACUCGUGGUCCGCGCCCGGCCCCUUCGGUUUGCGUGUCCCCUCGUGUGCAUCGCCAGCAAGAGGAGCCCACGACGUGUCCUCCGGCCGCCGACUCCCACCCCAUCCACCUGGGCGAGCGCUGAGGCGGCGGCGUUCGCAGCUGCCGCUGCCAAAGGUAGGCCUCGUCGUUCGCCGGAGUUUGUGUACAAACGCUUCUUGUUUGGUCGCUCCACUUGUGCAGAGCUCCACCUCGCAGCCCAGUACGGCAGUCUUUAUAUAAUGUUUCAGGUCUACUUAGCGAUUUGAACUUUACUAGGGGGCUACAACUUACAAAGGGUACUCAUCUCCAACACACAACAAAGCUCAUUAAUGACUGCAUUGCUGCAUUGGCAUGGUGGAACAAUGCUCUCAAGUCCUUUCGCGCCGUUUUGCUGCAGUCCGCGUUCAUUUUCCGCGCUCAUCGAUGUUAAACAACUGAUCAUUUUCGCUCACGUCGGGAUCGGAAGUUAAAUUGGAUUUUAUCAACCGCGAUAUCAUUUAAUUUAAAGAUUUACUCAACCGCGAAAUCAAUUAAUGUUUUAUCAACCGCGAUUUAUUAUAUCCUAUUCUAAAUUGCAUAACUUAACGAAGACUUUGGAGAACAUUCUUCCCUCAAGGUCAGUCGUGUGUCCCAUUGGAAUGUCGUUCUGCUUUGUUUUGAGCCCAAUUUCCUAUAAUUGUCCUAUCGCUAGCCUAGCCCCCGCUGCUGUUUGCCUUCGUCUCGACUCGGACGCUGCGAGCGAGCUGUCUGCUCGAGCCCGCCGCCUUGUGCGUCUCGCACGCAGUCGCGGGGAAGGACUACGGACUGCGUGACGCUGCCGCCGCCGCCCUUGCCGCAGUUUGACUUUAUGGGACUACCGAUCUACUGUUCCAGCCGACAUCUCAAUUUUGCUGUGACGAGCCUCUUCCUGGACUCUGCUGCGUCGCUUAUGGCUGUGGUCAGCAGACUGCACAGCUGCCCCGCCUGCUCUGCUCUGCACUCCACCCUGGGAGAGCCAAGCAGUGCGUCACCACCAGGUCACCGCGGCCUCGCCGCGCCGCGGAGGGCCGCUCCCGUGUCUUCAUGGUCGUCUACAAUUUCGUCCCUGUUGCAGAGUAACCGUGAGGCACGCUCGCUCGUCGGCUGCAGCCCACCGGGACGUCCGCGGAUCAUCCUCUCGCCAACGUUUCAGCUCCAGUAGAACGUUAUUCAAUUAUGUGGAGAUGUUCAGAUAUGCUCGUUUCUCCACUUGCUUCUCCAGUCCCACUCCAGUCAGCAGGAAUUCACUGCGGUCGGCGAGGACAUCUCGAUUCCAGGACACAGUUGGUGUUGGACCCGACACCCCGACAUAGGUGUCUGCUAUCAACUCAGCUUCGCUGCCUACCGGAGUAUCCGGGAAAGGUUGUUUCUUGGCGACGAUGCCUCCGCUUCCACAACUCUAACAGAAUUUGGUACCUAAUUCUCUGAAAUAACCCGCCACUUCAUGGAUUCCUUUGACUGCAUAAGAGUGUCAGUUCCCCGUCAACAUACAUCAACCCACUUCGGUCAGCCAAGGUAUCUCGACUCCAGGACUCUCCAACCUGAUAUUGGACUCAGCUUCUGACUCUGCUUUGCUGUCUCAGAGUAAUGAGAAAAGGUUCUUUCUUGGUGACCAUGCUGCAGGCCAACAGCUCCCACAACUCAAAUAAUUUGGUGCAAAGUUAUCUGGAACCUGCCACACUUUGGAUGCAUUCGCUGCAAUAGUGUCAGUUCGAGGCAAGUUCUAGUUCGACCCCCCUGACAUCAGGAAUUCACUGUGGCCAGCAAAGACAUCUCAACCCUGUGCUUCCUGCUUCUAACUCUGCUUCGCUGUCUCCAAGAAUAACCAGAAAAGGUAAGCAACUG